UAGGGAAUCUUCGGCAAUGGACGAAAGUCUGACCGAGCAACGCCGCGUGAGUGAAGAAGGUUUUCGGAUCGUAAAACUCUGUUGUUAGAGAAGAACAAGGACGUUAGUAACUGAACGUCCCCUGACGGUAUCUAACCAGAAAGCCACGGCUAACUACGUGCCAGCAGCCGCGGUAAUACGUAGGUGGCAAGCGUUGUCCGGAUUUAUUGGGCGUAAAGCGAGCGCAGGCGGUUUCUUAAGUCUGAUGUGAAAGCCCCCGGCUCAACCGGGGAGGGUCAUUGGAGACUGGGAGACUUGAGUGCAGAAGAGGAGAGUGGAAUUCCAUGUGUGGCGGUGAAAUGCGUAGAGAUAUGGAGGAACGCCAGUGGCGAGGGCGGCUCUCUGGUCUGUAACUGACGCUGAGGCUCGAAAGCGUGGGGAGCAAACAGG
rnacentral:rRNA from 1 species